rnacentral:rRNA from 1 species
UGGGGAAUAUUGCACAAUGGGCGCAAGCCUGAUGCAGCCAUGCCGCGUGUAUGAAGAAGGCCUUCGGGUUGUAAAGUACUUUCAGCGGGGAGGAAGGGAGUAAAGUUAAUACCUUUGCUCAUUGACGUUACCCGCAGAAGAAGCACCGGCUAACUCCGUGCCAGCAGCCGCGGUAAGACGGAGGGUGCAAGCGUUAAUCGGAAUUACUGGGCGUAAAGCGCACGCAGGCGGUCUGUCAAGUCGGAUGUGAAAUCCCCGGGCUCAACCUGGGAACUGCAUUCGAAACUGGCAGGCUAGAGUCUUGUAGAGGGGGGUAGAAUUCCAGGUGUAGCGGUGAAAUGCGUAGAGAUCUGGAGGAAUACCGGUGGCGAAGGCGGCCCCCUGGAAAAAGACUGACGCUCAGGUGCGAAAGCGUGGGGAGCAAACAGG